AUUAAUCAACACAAUAAGUGAAAAAUUAAUAAUUUUAUCCUUAUAAAUGCACAUCAAACCCCAAAACCUCACGAUUAAAAGUGACUCUCUUAAAAGAAAAUAUACCCCAAAUUAAAUUGUCACUCUAAAAAAAAGGUAGAUUUGAGAGACUAAUAAAACAAUAUCACACGCUCUCACCAAGAUGAAAGAAUAACACCCACAACUUAGAAAUAAAAUGAUCUCAACUUAGGGAAAUUAUUAGCCAAACUAAUUUUUAUUUUUAUGCAUUACCACAUCUUUUAGUCAAUAUCACCA
rnacentral:lncRNA from 1 species